UAGCAGCAGAAGCAGCGGCAGCAGCGGCAGCAGUUGGGGCCCGGGUCCCCGGCUGGUCCGAGCGGGGUCACGAGCCAUGGCGCGGAAGGCUGAGGGUCACAGAGGUGAAGUCAUUUGCCCAUGUUGACAAAGCUGGUUAUGACAGAGUUUGGAUGGGAAUGCAGAGCUUCUUGACUCAAAAGCCCAGGCUUUGUCUACUGCUUCAGACUCUAGACCAGCGCUGUGCAAUAGAAAUAAAAGGCGAGCCACAAAUAUGAGCCAAAUGUGUCGUAUUUUCUCAGAGCCACAUCAAAGAAAAGAAAACCAGUUCAUUUACUGAUGAUCACUUUGAGGACAGGAAAUGGUGGGUCACACUUAUAAUAUCUAAGAAGAUAUAGUCCCAGAAGAAUCCACGUUUCCUAAGUUUCUGAGAACAGCAAUUGGAGCGUUUUAAAAGUUCUCCUUAUUUCAUUGCAUCAUCUAGGUGCUUGGUACCUCUUCCAUCUGCCCUUCAGUCUUCACGGCCGCAUGCUGACUGGCUCGUCUGCCUGAUGUACUCCUGUUUGAAAACUGGGCUGGUUCUUCCAGGUGGCUGCUGCAGUGAUUUAGUUCCUGCAGUCCUCUUCUCUAGGAGGCUUCUGCCCGGGCCCAGCUGAUGGCUUGGAGCUCUGGGUACCUGGGCUCAUCUGUGAAAGCCCCACCUAUGAUGUGUGAUGGACAGCUGGUCUUGAAAUAGAAGGCAUGGCUGUAAAUCAAUAGUUGAUGUCAGAAGGCAGGACACUUCAUGCUCACCUGCAUCUCCUCCAGCCCCUCUGGCUGACCCAGACUUUGCCUGGCUUCAAGGGGGAGACCCCUUUUCCUGUAUCCAUUUGUUUAGAGGAGCUGACAAAUGGCUUCCUCUGAGCUCCCACUUUCUGCUGGGAUUUUCCAUUCCAUCCUCUGGCCUGUGCCAGUAAUAACAUUUUACACUUGUCUGACACCUUUUCUCCUCUGAGCUCCAAGCACUUUACAAGCAAGCAGUUACUAUUAUUGCCCUCUGAAUUCUGAUGGAAAAGCUGAGAGUCGUGGGAUCAAAGCUACCAUGAUUGGGCAGUGAAGACAAGGCUCCCAGACACCAGGCCAACCCCUGGCCCAUGGCAGGACCAGAGAGAGCACCCCAGCUGCUGAGGAGGGGCAGGCCAGAGGAGGGCUUUCAGCAUGGGCUCCCCAGAGACUUUCCAGAGCCUCUUAUCCUGCUGUUAAGUGAUGCAUUGUCCUUUACUGCAGAAGAGAAUGGGACCCCUGAGACUCUUCCCUGCCAGGAAAGCUGAUCUGACGGCUCAUGUUUUUUCUGGGAAUGAGAAGACUCUGGACUCUGUAAAGUGUCCUUGUCUUGUCUUGAGGAACAGGAAGCAGAUCUGUAUUGCAUGGCCCAGGCAGCAGAAUAAGGUUCAGUUGCUACAGGUCUUUACCAGUCUAGGCCUUGCUGGCACUGAGAGCUGCCCAAAGGGGAGUGCAUUUGCAUCCAUGGUUUGGUCCCGAGGGACGUGUCUCUAGCCGAUGCUGGGGAGAUGUCCCGAAUCACAUGAGGCUAGGGAAGGGUGACACAUAAGGCUUCUUCCAACCCAGAUUUUGCAUUGUAAAGACGGACUCUAGUGCUAUCUCUUCCAGGUAGUGGAGGCUCUGGGGCUGAGACCCUGAAACCUUGGGGCAUGUCACAUCUUGCUGGAUCUGCAAAGCUCCUUAGUUCCCAUCUUCUUCUUUCAUUUAGCAAAACUUGGUUUGAGGUCUGCAUUUUCCAUCUUUUGUGUGAAGCUUUGCUCAGUAGCAGCUCGCUGUUUAACUAGAAAGAACAUCUGUGACCAUGAAAUUUUCAGCAACCAAAAAAUGCCCUGUUAAGCUAUGUCUGCUAAACUAGUGUUGGAAGU